CUGCCGCUGCCGCCGGCGCCGUCCCCGCGUCCCCUUGCCGUGGUGCGCCCUCUCCCCAUCUCCACAGGCCCUAACCCUCUCUCAAUCCCCUCACCUUCUCUCCUGUGUGGAUUCGUCCCUCACCGGAUCGAAUCCUCCGAGCCGGCGGUCUGCAGGGCCGGGCGGGAGCGGCGCGUCCCCGUCGGCGUGUCGGUGGUGACGGCCCCGCGGAUCGAGGCUGACCCUCAACGGCGCUGGCGCUGCGUCGAUCUGGCGCGCGCUUCUGCUCGAGGGGCAGCGUGGUUCAGCGACGACGAGAUGCUCGUCCAUCUCCUUCUCAUCGACCAAAUCGUCCAGGAUUCCUCAUCCACCGCCGCGCCCAAGUUUCAGUGCGCCAUCUACUCGGCUCCUACCCCAAUGUUGCUGAGUUCAGGUCACAACAUUGUGAUCUCCUUUUUCUUCGAGAAGAAUCCAUCCAAUGCUCUGAUCUAGAAAAGGCAACAAAAGUAGUUUCAUUCGUCCAUGGAUACUUGGUCCGGCCUCUCGAGAAAGGGCUAUACUAUAUAUGCUGCAAUAUACACUUGCCGCCCUGUACGAAUUCAAGCAAUCAGCACUCUGAUUAUUCCGUCUGUACACAAUUGCCUUUGCUUUCUCAACCAUGGGUACAAUUUCUCUCAUCUUUUCUGGAGAUCCCACACUAUUCCUUCGGAGCAGGAAGUGCACUUUUGAAAGGUGUUAGCAUGCUUCAUAAUUGCCUAUGCACCUGGUACCUAUAUGAUGUUAGUAUCAGUUGCUCCUGUGACUGCCAUGGGGGUCUCUCUCAUCAGUUUACUCAUAGUGUUCAAUCCAAUUUGGGAAUUUAAAAUCAAGGGUAUUGUUCUGUUAGUGGCAUUAUGCAAGUGAAAGGGGAUAUGGUAUGGGGUAGUCAUCAUGGCAAACCCAAUUGCAGCCUUAUUGUCUGUGACAUUCGUGUCCCUUAUUCUACUUCUACUACUGGACUUGUCGUUGGUCUCGAUGAGUCAUCUGGUGGCAAAGUGGAACCACGUACCAGCACAACCACCGACACCAUUCAUAGAAACAACUAGAGUGACAUUGUGGGUGCGUGGAGGUGGUUUCAUCCUCAUCGACGGUGGAGACAAGAUCAAGGACUAGACCAACGCGGUCUUUGCACACGAACCAAUGUGGGCCAGUUGCAUCGGUAAAAUAGCAUCACCGGCUUAGGAAGUAAGUUCCUCUGUUUAGGUGUAUUGAUGUUUCUGAACUAGCAGGCACAAUUCAUCUCAUGACCACUGGGCUGUCGUCUUUACUUUUUCUGAAAUUUGUGACCAAGUGGUUAAAGCCUGAAACCAAAGCUUGGUCUUUCUCCAAAUUUACCAUGGUGUAAUUUUAUGCCACAAUCAAGCAUUGGAUAGAAAAUAAACAUGUUAUCAAGAUAAUAUAUCAGUUUUAGAAAUACAUAUUGAUCGACUAUACAAGCGUUUCUUUUUACUGAAUUUCUUUUUGCUAUUUUUCUAUCUAUAUCACUCAUUUUGUUGACAUGUUUAUUCAAAUGUGCCUAAUGUUUCUUUGCUUUUCCUGGUUUCUCAAAACUAACAAAUGAUGUUCUCUGAUAAAUUAGGAGGCUGAAGGUGGUAGCUUGCUGAACUCUUAUUUUGAAAAAAAAUCUGUAGAUGUUCACAUAAACCUGAAGUGUGCUCUGUUUUUCUCAUAUAAAUGAUAAACAACCACGACACCGGCACCAGCAACCAUGUGCUUCUUCUCCAUGGAAAUGGACAUGGGGCUCCAAACCACAGAAUGAGAAUGCAAGACACAAGCAAGGGAACACCAUCGCUUCACUCCUCCGGGUCGCCGCUGCUCCAACCCUACUGGACGCCAUGAAAGGUUGACCGCAGUGCGCAGUGGCGGCGCUCACGUCUGCAUCAUCCGCAUCCGUUGUGUGUGCUCCCGUCCAUGUUGCUGAGGGACGCCUGCCCCUGUUGCAAGGACUGCCACUGUGGUUAUGGAAGACGCUACAGAUAAAUCAGGUCAUUUCAUCCGGACAUUAUGACAGAAGUUUCUAUACCCUGCUUGUUGUCGUAACAAUUGCACUAGGUCAGGGUUUUAUGACAUCUGACUUCACGGUUGCUUCAGGCUCGAUGUCGACUUUGCUACAUUAUCUCGAUUUUUGUUGCAUGCCACUUUGAACUUCUACCUAGGCAAUGCGUGGCAAGCCGCGCUUUACAUUGGUUCAACCAGCCCUCUCAUCAAGUAUUAUGUUUGUGGGAUGAAUAAGACACUGGUCACUCCUGGACUAAGGAUGCACUUCUCCUGCCACUUAACAAAAAAUAAUUAGAAGAACCAUCUCAAUGAACCAGUCGAGGACAUGAUGGUCAGUCUCAGCGCUGGAUAUGUUACGAGACAGGUUUGGCGCAUAAGAGGAACACAAAAAAAGCAAUUUGUCAGACUUUGUCAAGGCGGGAGGGAUCAGAGAGUAUCAAAUGUGUUUCUUCGCCUUCAAAAUUGAAAGGGGGAAACCAUCGCUCACUCUCCAUAAUAAGCUUUAAAAAGCUAAGGUAGGAAAUCACAAGUCUAUACAGAAAUCAUUCUAUGCCAUGUAUUUCCCGGACUAUUUGCAUCGGGUUCAUGUGAAGUACCGCAUAUGAGGUUGAUCGACAAGGCAAUUGAAUGGAGCUACUUUUCAGUAUGA